UACGUAGGGUGCGAGCGUUAAUCGGAAUUACUGGGCGUAAAGCGUGCGCAGGCGGUUCGUUGUGUCGGCGGUGAAAGCCCCGGGCUUAACCUGGGAACUGCAUUGGUGACUGGCAGGCUUUGAGUGUGGCAGAGGGAGGUAGAAUUCCACGUGUAGCAGUGAAUGCGUAGAGAUGUGGAGGAAUACGAUGGCGAAGGCAGCCUCCUGGGCCAACACUGACGCUCAGUGCACGAAGCGUGGGAGCA
rnacentral:rRNA from 1 species